rnacentral:rRNA from 1 species
GACGAACGCUGGCGGCGUGCUUAACACAUGCAAGUCGAGCGGUAAGGCCCUUUCGGGGGUACGACGAGGCGGCGAACGGGUGAGUAACACGUGGGUGACCUGCCCUUAGCUCUGGGAUAAGCCUGGGAAACGUGGGUCGUAAUACCGGAUAUGACUCCAUGACGGCAUGUUGUGGGGUGGAAAGCCUUGUGCGGCUAGGGAUGGGCCCGCGGCCUAUCAGCUUGUUGGUGGGGUGAUGGCCUACCAAGGCGACGACGGGUAGCCGGCCUGAGAGGGCGACCGGCCACACUGGGACUGAGACACGGCCCAGACUCCUACGGGAGGCAGCAGUGGGGAAUCUUGCGCAAAUGGGGCGAAAAGCCUGACGCAGCGACGCCG